UACGUAGGUGGCGAGCGUUGUCCGGAUUUAUUGGGUUUAAAGGGUGCGUAGGCGGCUUUGUAAGUCAGUGGUGAAAUACUCCAGCUUAACUGGAGGGGUGCCAUUGAUACUGCGGAGCUUGAGUACAGAUGAGGUAGGCGGAAUUGACGGUGUAGCGGUGAAAUGCUUAGAUAUGUCAUAGAACACCGAUUGCGAAGGCAGCUUGCUGGACCUGUAUUGACGCUGAGGCACGAAAGCGUGGGGAGCGAACAGG
rnacentral:rRNA from 1 species